UACAGAGGUCUCAAGCGUUGUUCGGAAUUACUGGGCGUAAAGGGUGCGUAGGUGGCGUGGAAAGUCAGAUGUGAAAUCCGGGGGCUCAACCUCCGAAUUGCAUCCGAUACUCCCAUGCUAGAGCACUGGAGGGGAGUCUGGAAUUCUCGGUGUAGCAGUGAAAUGCGUAGAUAUCGAGAGGAACACUAGUGGCGAAGGCGAGUCUCUGGACAGUUUCUGACCCUGAUGCACGAAAGCCAGGGUAGCGAACGGG
rnacentral:rRNA from 1 species